CUUACCCACACCAUCCAAGACUCACUUCGAUGUUGAGGAUGACCAUGAACUUUUGCAUCUCAAAUAUUAAAUUUAUAGUGCCAUUACUGAAUGGACAAAACUUAAGACUCCCUGUCUCCCUGAGGUGGGAGCUGAGGAGGAGAUUUUCUCGGAAAUAAGCUG